CAAAGCAGCAAAAGCUCCUUCCCAUCAGGCUAUGGUGGAAAAGCAUUGAAUCUGGGACAGAGGUGUCAAUCUAUUGCUGUGUCUUGGAACCUUUAGAAAGCCUUCAAUCAUCUUGAAAAAGGAAUAUCUUCAUUCAUCGCCAUGGUCACACCAUAUUGGUAAAGGAAGACCGUUAAGUCACUACAAGUUCCUUCAGACAAAAUGAUUAAAAAUCUCCGAUCUAAAGGAAACCAGCAUCCAAGAUCACCAGCUUUACUUUAAGUUUUUCUCUAUCUUGUCAUAGACUGUCCUCAUCGACCUAUUGACACAGAUAAAUCAAAUCAAAGAUUUGGGAGUCAGUAGGAGGACCAAGGAAAAACGCUGUAGAGAAGAAGUACCUAAUUAUUUUGUUUGAGUAUGAUUGUUAGUCAAUAUUUAUGACAUGGGGAGAAAAGUUCGGGGAAGGUUGUUGUGUAAGGGAGGGGCUAAACCCUGAAACAAACAUGCAAUGAUGUCAGAGUUUCUCCCCACUGGGCAUAAAUAGCACAGUGUGAGUGAAUUCAGUGAGAUUGAGUGUUGGAUUAGAAUAGAGAACAUGAAUAGAGAACAGCCUUGUUUAAGUGAGAGCCGAGUAUAUCUAUGAUUACAUAUUAAAGUAUAAGAAACAAUGUUCUUUUAAAUCAAAGUCUAAAGACAGCUCUUAAACUGUUUGAAAUCUCCAAUCAUAGUGUGGCAUUAAAUCGCAUGAUAAAAGAGAUGGGAUUGUGGAGUUGAUGUUAUAAAUCCUGAUGUUAUUAAAUGGCAGAGUAGAGCCAAUGGCCAAGUGGCCUAAUCCUGCUCCUAAACUAUAUACCCAAAUGUAAUUUGCUUUUGUUAUAAAGUACUGUAAAACACACAAAGACUCAUGAAACUGAGGAGUUUAACAAGAUGGAGAGUGUUCCUACGUCACCUUCAUUGGAUUGGGAAGGGGCUGAGGUGAUAUUUCACUUGCACGGAGCUGCAACACUGUUAUCCUGAGCAAGUCAGUAAUGUAAUUGGAAAAUAAGAAACAGAGACAGACUCUGCACAGUUGUGACAAGGAGAGCUUGUGCAGCUCCAUACC